rnacentral:Y_RNA from 1 species
GGUUGGUCGAGGGUAGUGGUGUUUACAACUACUUGAUCAUGACCAGUUACAGAUUUCUCUGUUCCUUCUCCACUCCCACUACUUCAAUUGACCAGUAAA